rnacentral:misc_RNA from 1 species
ACACGUAUCCACGUAUCAACCCCUCUGUGCAAACCUAUUUUCGAAAGGCUAGGUUGGAGUGCUUCUGCUCGCAUGGGUCCUAAUGAUGGGAGCUUCGGCUCAGGGCUCGAGCAGUUGCGCGUUUUUGACAAUCGCCGCCUACUUUUCCAUCGUUGGCCCCUUUUUAUCUACCUUUUAACCCCUUGUACUUCUUUUGUACUGAACCAAUUCUUCGAUGCUCUCUCUGAGAGCGACGAAAGAUAUUACGAAACUUAAGAA